rnacentral:tRNA from 1 species
GCCGAAGUGGCGGAAUUGGCAGACGCGCUGGAUUCAAAAUCCAGUGCCCGCAAGGGCGUGUGGGUUCGAGUCCCACCUUCGGUA